GUGGGGAAUUUUGGACAAUGGGCGCAAGCCUGAUCCAGCAAUGCCGCGUGCAGGAAGAAGGCCUUCGGGUUGUAAACUGCUUUUGUACGGAACGAAACGGUCCGGGUUAAUACCCUGGGCUAAUGACGGUACCGUAAGAAUAAGCACCGGCUAACUACGUGCCAGCAGCCGCGGUAAUACGUAGGGUGCAAGCGUUAAUCGGAAUUACUGGGCGUAAAGCGUGCGCAGGCGGUUUUGUAAGACAGGCGUGAAAUCCCCGGGCUCAACCUGGGAAUUGCGCUUGUGACUGCAAGGCUGGAGUGCGGCAGAGGGGGAUGGAAUUCCGCGUGUAGCAGUGAAAUGCGUAGAUAUGCGGAGGAACACCGAUGGCGAAGGCAAUCCCCUGGGCCUACACUGACGCUCAUGCACGAAAGCGUGGGGAGCAAACAGGAUUAGAAACCCGUGUAGUCC
rnacentral:rRNA from 1 species